rnacentral:rRNA from 1 species
UACGGGGGGGGGCAAGCGUUGUUCGGAAUUACUGGGCGUAAAGGGCUCGUAGGCGGCCAACUAAGUCAGACGUGAAAUCCCCUCGGCUUAACCGGGGAACUGCGUCUGAUACUGGAUGGCUUGAGUUCGGGAGAGGGAUGUGGAAUUCCAGGUGUAGCGGUGAAAUGCGCAGAUAUCAGGAAGAACACCCGUGGCGAAGGCGGCUCUCUGGGACGGUACUGACGCUGAGACGCGAAAGCGUGGGGAGCGAACAGG